AUUGAACGCUGGCGGCAGGCUUAACACAUGCAAGUCGAGCGGAGAUGAGGUGCUUGCACCUUAUCUUAGCGGCGGACGGGUGAGUAAUACAUCGGAACGUGCCCGAUCGUGGGGGAUAACGCAGCGAAAGCUGUGCUAAUACCGCAUACGAUCUACGGAUGAAAGCGGGGGAUCGCAAGACCUCGCGCGGACGGAGCGGCCGAUGGCAGAUUAGGUAGUUGGUGGGAUAAAAGCUUACCAAGCCGACGAUCUGUAGCUGGUCUGAGAGGACGACCAGCCACACUGGGACUGAGACACGGCCCAGACUCCUACGGGAGGCAGCAGUGGGGAAUUUUGGACAAUGGGCGCAAGCCUGAUCCAGCCAUGCCGCGUGCAGGAUGAAGGCCUUCGGGUUGUAAACUGCUUUUGUACGGAACGAAAAAGCUCUCUCUAAUACAGGGGGUGAAUGACGGUACCGUAAGAAUAAGCACCGGCUAGCUACGUGCCAGCAGCCGCAGUAACAC
rnacentral:rRNA from 1 species